AAACAAAACAGGUCAUUGAAAGAAAGCUAAUAAAAAAGAAAGUGCUUCGAACAAGUACAAUAAUGUCUUAAGUUAUUGCUAUGCAUUAGAAAUAAAACUAAUAUGUAGUUCGUUAUCAGUUUAUUGCCAUCGACAUAAAAUAUUAUCGCAAAUGUAAACGCUGUUCUUGUUUACAUACUUUUUACCAUCAUUAUCUACUAACAAAUCGCAAUUUUGUUUGAUGAAGCUUUCCGAUGUCGUAAAACCGAAUCCGAGGAAGGAUUCCCCGAAAUCAUUGCAUAUUUUUACAACUCCGUCGAGAUUGGAAGCCGGUCCCCUUCCCGAACCCAACCAAUUGUCGAUGGCUGCUGGUGGAAAUCGUCGUCGGUAUACCUCUUUGAAGCCGGUUUCCAAAGAUCGAGACCGCAUUUUACCAGGCAAUAGGAAUUGCAUAUCUUUUGGCCGCCCCGAAUCAGUGACCAUUUGCUGCUGCUGAGGUCGGCUUUUUGUUGUGCAUUUAUGGCGGCUGCCGGUUUGGUACUACUGGUGCAAUAAAAGUAUCCUUUUCCCAAACCGAAAUGGGCAAUGUUU